CCUACGGGGGGCAGCAGUGGGGAAUUUUGGACAAUGGGCGCAAGCCUGAUCCAGCUAUUCCGCGUGUGGGAAGACGGCCUUCGGGUUGUAAACCACUUUUGUAGAGAACGAAAAGUCUGUUGAUAAUACCGAUAGAUGAUGACGGUACUCUAAGAAUAAGCACCGGCUAACUACGUGCCAGCAGCCGCGGUAAUACGUAGGGUGCGAGCGUUAAUCGGAUUUAUUGGGUUUAAAGGGUGCGCAGGCGGCGAGUUAAGUCAGCGGUAAAAUUUCGGGGCUCAACCCCGGCAAGCCGUUGAAACUGG
rnacentral:rRNA from 1 species